rnacentral:rRNA from 1 species
UACGUAGGGUGCAAGCGUUAAUCGGAAUUACUGGGCGUAAAGCGUGCGCAGGCGGUUAUGCAAGACAGAUGUGAAAUCCCCGGGCUCAACCUGGGAACUGCAUUUGUGACUGCAUGGCUAGAGUACGGUAGAGGGGGAUGGAAUUCCGCGUGUAGCAGUGAAAUGCGUAGAUAUGCGGAGGAACACCGAUGGCGAAGGCAAUCCCCUGGACCUGUACUGACGCUCAUGCACGAAAGCGUGGGAAGCAAACAGG